UGCAAGGUCGCAAGGUCGCAAGGUCGAGGCC
rnacentral:piRNA from 1 species